GUGCUGGUGGCACAGCAGCCACAGCUGCCCCUCUGCUUCUGUGGGCCUGAGCAGCUCUGAGGCAGCCCCAACCUGCAAGUUUUGCACUGUUUUUUUUUUGUUGUUGUUCUGGUUGCAUCCAGAAUGUCCUGAGACACCAGAAGUGAGAGCUCGGCCGAGGCACCCUGAGGUGUGCGGAGCGCGCUGAGUGCUUCCACUCCCUGCUCUUCCACGGAGCAGUUGGUGCUGGGGGCAGCAGUGGCAGUUCUGCAUGGAGACAAUAUGACAGAGGACCAAUGCCUCAGAACGAGGACUUCUCAGAGCUACCUCAACAUAACCAUCACAACAGCAGUCAGUAAAAGCUUUGUGUCUUACAUGGUCCAGAAUUUCACAUAUGAAACUUCUAAAAAUGUUUCUGCUAUUUUUGUAUGAGAAUUUUCUUCAAAAAUAUAAGUUCUGAAAAUACUUGUGUGUGUGUCUGUGUGAAAUGUGCAAUGGUUCAAAUUACCGAAAAAUUCGGAAAACAACCACUGCCCUCCUGUAGCCCCGCUCCCCAUCAGUCAGUGCUGCUAUGGCAGCCCGCCGGCUGCUGAGGAUGGGUGCUGCCAGCUGUGCGCCUCUGCACAAUGGUGCUUAACCCCGCUGGUCAGGGCAUUCCUUUCUUUUUACUGAGGGGUCAACAGAAAAGCAUUGGUUUCUUAAGUUGACUUUCACAGUUUCAUUUUAAAAGUAAAUAAGUUGUUUCAACUUCUAAACAUGUUAUGCACACGUGUUGGGUCGGAAGUUGGGAACCACUGUCAAGGGUUGUAAUGAUGAAUAUCAUAGAAACUUCUGUAAAUAUUUUUCUUCAUAGGAGGUACAUGCAACUGAGAUGGCAGAUUUGUCAGGGUGGACUUUCGGUAUAGCUGUACUGCACCUGAAGGAAGCAUUCCUCCUCCCUCAAAUUGUUUUUUUUGAGGACUUGUCACUUAAGAGCAUUGAUGUGCGUUAUUCUCUGUAUAUGGAAGCAAAACAAAAACAAGAAAGGAUGCAGGGAGUGCAUGGAUGAAAUGUUAACUAUCAAGACUUUGGGGUAAGAGGGUCACCUUUAAGAAGAAAGAGCAUGGAGUUUCCAUGGAGUCCAGAGAACGUGUGGUGCAGCGUGGGAUUCCUGCUUAGAGCUGGGAAAGUUGGAUGUUCCAGCUCUGUCGAUGCAGAGCAUUUUAUCUGUGGGAAUUGCUAAGCACUGAGCGUGCGGUGUUGCGUGGCCUUUGGGGAGCUGAUAGCUGGUUUUCCAUGUGGCUCUUCGUGCUGCUCGCAGUACUUUUCUACACUUAGAGUGCAGAGUGCAGUGCAGUUUCAAUACAAACAUAUACUUCUGUAUAUUAAGCAUGUGCAUUAAUAUAUUAUUAUUACUUGGACUAAUAACAAAUAGUAGUCAGUCAGUGAGAUAAAAAAGGACAGAGUUCAAUAGUAAUUCUCAGACAGCUUAGCAAUUACCCAGACAGCUUGCAGUCAGAAAAGCUGUUCAAAUCCAGGAUUAUGAACUACACCGAUGGCAGUUCUGCUGGGUGGAGUUUUAGAAGAUUGUGAGUAUGUUCAGAGUAAUUGUAAGACUCAUUUGCAGCGUUCCUCCCAGUGAACUUCUCCUUUGCAAGCCAAUGUCAACAACUGUAAAAAACCCAACCUCCAAAGGCCGGUAGGCUGCUUCCCAAAAUCCGUCAGAAUUAUUUUCAGUUAUUUGUGUUAGAAAGGUGUCUGCACUUAUUGGCAUCUUGGAGGUUUUUCAUCCUUCCUCUUUAAUGACAUAAAUCCAAAAUUCCUUUCAUUUCUGUAAGAAUAGUCAACAUCAAAGAGCAUGCAUGGCAACACAGAUUUUGUGGCUUUGUUCUUAAAAUCAGUUUCUCUCUUUCCUUUGUGUCUGUGGCUUCUUUCCUCGUUAUUUUGGAUAGUGUCUGCUGUUUUUGUUUGCAUCCUCUGUUCUGGCUCUGCAUUUGGGCUUCCCAGAGCUUUGUGUACACGUGGUGGCUGAAAUGCACCCAGCGCCACGGGGCAGCGGGAGCAGGGGAGUGCUGAAGUCCUGCCUAAGCCUGGAAGCAGUCCUCCGAGUUCUCCAGCAAAGCUGGCAGCCACUGGGCUGCUCCCAGCGCAGGCCUGGGCAGGGUGCUGCUGUGCUCGGCAGCGCCGGCCAGGGAAAGCAGGGAGCUUAGGUGCACACUUUGAUCUUGAAGAGUUGAAUGAAAAAGGGGUGUUGUAGUGUUUUGAGCUUUUUUUUUUUUUAGGGCAGUACAUGAUUUUUUUAUAGUGUGCAUUAAAUUCUGUACCUCCAGUGAGCAUUAAAGCCACCUCAUCACUCAGCUCCGGAGGGGAGAGCGAGCUCCAAAGCUGGAGAGGCAGCUGUUAAGAGAUUUCCAUCUCAACAGCCUCUCAUGCCAAUAGGACUGUGAUCUGGGAAUAUAACAAGGCUUCUGGGUAUAAAGUUAAUAAAUAACCACUGUAUUCCCUUUGCCAUUUUAUUUUCUGUGCCUAGCCCCAGUGACUUCUAAGCCUAAGCAAGCAUCGGUUCCUGGCCUGAUGUGUUUGACAUAAGCACAUAUAUUCCUUAAGCAGGAGACUUUCUAUGCAAAUUUUGCUUCAAAAAGAUUGUUGAAGGAAGAAAAGGUCAUUUGUGUCGCUGAGUAUCCAUACUCACAUACUGUCAAUAAAUGCUGUAUUUUCAGUCACUGAGGUUUUUAUCCCUUCAAUCAGGGGGGGCUGAGGUCAAGGUAUAUAUUUUAGGUCGUGUUCUUCCUGCUGAUGGAGACAAUACAUUUUCUGUCUGUGAUAUUGUUUCUUUUCACAUCCAGAAUAUUUGGUGUGAGGGUGUGGCUGUCAGAGCCCCUGGGAACUAACUCGAAUUACAGUCAUGGUUAAAAGCUCAAAUGAUUCUCAGUCAUUCCUGUCAUACUCAGUCCCGGUACAAAGGAGACUCUGAUUUUCUUAUCAGAUACACCGUCUCUGUACCACAGAUGAAAGGUUGAUAGAGCUUUUCCAUCUUAAGUUUGUAGCUGUUAAGUAGCCAUGCAGGUAGCAUGAAGUUAGGCCCACAGAUUUCUGAGUGCUCUUAAGGUGUCUCAGAUCAAUAUUUGAGGUUACCAAAAGCCGAGGGAUCCAGGGAGCAGCACACGGCCAUGGAGGUGCAGCUGUGGGGCUCCGUGUUUCAGGGGGUUGUUAUUGUCAGCUCCUUUUGGAGCGUUCGUUGCUUUGUAAAAGCACUGGGUAAAUUCACUGUGUUCGCAUGUGCUGGCAUCAGAAAGGAUUUCUUCCUCCAAAAGGAGGGACUGGGACAUGGGGUGUGUAGAGUGCCCUCCAGCCAAAGGCCAUGCCUAGCUUAGUGUUACCAUUGCAGUCCUUUUGUUUGUACCUCGCUUUGUCUCCAAUGUAAAUUUCCGUGUCCUCGCACUGUUCUGUAGUUAUGCAAAAUAGUUUCAAUUUAGCUGUGAUAUAACAGUAAUGCAGUUCUGAUUUUUUUAUGGGUUAAAUCUUCGGACUUACAUAAUGAAGCUAAUGGGAGCCUGUCAGAAGUGUGCGUAGCGUAGAGGUGGUGCUGAGGGACGUGGUUUAGCGGGGAAUGGUGGUGGUGGGCGGUGGGUUGGACUGUGAUCUUGGAGGUCUUCUCUAACCUUGGUGGUUCUGUCAUUCUGUGAUUCUAUGAUCCUGUGAUAAACACUGAGGUUCCCAGGACACCAAAGCAUGAAUCCUGACUGAUUUUCAUAUGCAAAUGUGUGUGGUUACUGUUGAAGCUGUUGUGUAUUAAAAUACAGCGUUGCAUUAGUUGUUGCUUUAUCUGUUUAAAUAUGAGUUAGUCCUUGCAGCAGGAAUACCUAGGAAGCCAGAGAUGAGGAUGAUGGGUCUUCUGUUAGCCAUCAACUUUCUAUUUUUUUGCAUUUUUCUUCUUGAGCCUGGUACUUGAGAAUAGCAGAGGGAAGAUUUAUUUCAUUUUGCCUUUGUGUGUGUGUGUGCUAUUUCCUUACUUGUUUUCAGGCUGCCUGACGAAGAAUCUUCUUUCUUUUGUUGCCUCUGCUUUGGUUCUGCUCCCCACUAAUCUGAAAUAUUGUGAUUACAUCUUCCUGUCUCCUGCUCCUUCUUUCCUUAUGUUCUAAAUAAAAGAAUAUACUGUUCCUUCA